CGUAUUCAUCUGCAUGAUGCAUACUUCCUGACUGCAUCAUUUACAUGUGCUGUCAAGUUAAUCCUGCUUAUUUUUAAUUUCAGAGAGGCAUUUGGAAAUGGCGUUUUGAUGCCACCGGAAGAUGAUCCACCUCGGCCAUCUUCACAGGACAUGGGAACUCCGACACCACAGAAUGCAAGGCAUGGUCCCUCUUCUACUCCCCUUCCUUCUUGUUUUUGAUUCGGUCGCUCCCCUCCCUCACUCCCUGAUGCUCGCAGGUCAGGGACACCACCUACAAGGAAGGGAAAGCCACCGCUUCGCUCCGAUGGGUCUGCUUCUUCCCUCUCAUGCUCUCUCCGCUCUCUCUCCCUCUCAUGCUCUCUCUGGUUCUCCACGCCCAUCCAACUUGCAGGCUCACUGCAACUUAUUAACUGCAGAAAACUAAAAUUUUGGUUCCCUCUUAGGCCAUGAAGAAUGAAACUGCAGAAAACAGAAACUUUCCUUCAGAAAACUCAAAGUGUUCACACGCACCUGCAAAGCACUCUAGCCAUGCCAUGCACGCACUGAAAGUUUAGCUCUUCUCCAUUCUUCUGAAAAUCAAUAAUAUUACUGGUAUAGCUAGCCACUCUCUGUGUGCUGCUGCUACAUGUAUGAACAAGUUUGAGAAGAUCUCAGGUGAACUCAGGUGAACUCCCGUAUCGAGCUUGAGAAGAUGGCGCACCGCGCGUCGUGCUCACGCGACACACAGGGCGACACACCUGACGAGAGAUGGCGCGUAUUGUACGCUGCCAAUCUGCAGCUGCGCUCGCUCACGUUCUAUGACGGCGAGCUGGUGCUCCGGCGGGAUGCUCUCCGUAUUAUUCUGAUCGAUGACCGCGGAGUCACGGUGGAUGCACGUUUUCUCCGGGCGGGGGAGUUCAUCGACGUCGGCGACAUCGUCUCGCUACCGUGUCACUUUGCGAGAAUUCAGGCGCGGUCUCUGGAGACGUGCACGGUCCAUGGCGCGGUGCACGGGGGGCUCACGAAGAUUCAGGCGGGCGUGGACCGGCCCGGGGUGGCCCCGCACCUCACCAACCAUCCGCUAAUGGCGGCAGGACGCGUGGGAACAUCUCCAUGGCCACCUGACCGCCAGGCGGGACCCAGCACCGGAUCUGGCGUGGAGCCUUCUAGUGCGGAGGAGGCGAGGGGAGAUGCUUCACUUUCCCCACCUACCCCAACUACACGAGACGCACACCUCGCUCCUCUCUUCAAGCACCUAUGGGAGCGUCCUAGGGUUUGCAUUCCCAAUUCAUCCCCUCCUGAUUCCUUUGGCUGGUGGAGGGGCAAGGCCGGCGGCGACGUUCGAUCCUUCGCCCAAGUUGCUGGAGCUGAGCGGGCAGGGAGCGUGCCGCGCACCGUGAUGGGUGACCGUGGCGGGGGGAGAUCUGGCGGAUGGCGCGACAACACUGCGCGGGGUGGAUUCGGUGGCGGUCGCAAGGCUCCGCCGCCAAACCAAUCUCGUCAUAUGGUAUGGCAGCGGCCAGAUCCGCCACCGGCGACGUCGGGAGAUUCGAGAUCUGGUGGUGGCGAAGUUGCGGACAGAUGGGAAGCUGCUGCUCGGGCCAUGAGUGAUGCGAGCAAGGAGAAGAUGGCGGGCGCCAAGGAACCGCCUCCACCACCAACAUCUGGGCAUGUGGCGACCAAGGGCAACACCGAGCUCUGCAUCAAUUGCUCCCUCCCAGGUCAUUUCGCUCCUCGUUGCCCUACCAUUCGCUGCGAUAAGUGUAACAAACUAGGUCAUAUGGCUCAACUUUGCCAAGUUCUGAGGCCUUGGGAGUGUACCCCCUUCAUGUGUGGUUUUCAAUCUCCUGGUCAGGGUUUCUUUUAUAUACCUGAUAUGUGUGCAGCUAAGCAUAGUGUGGAAAACCCAAUAAUGUGGUGAUUACUGUAGUUGAAGGGGAUGCUACUGUUAAGGAUAUUGAGCAGGAAUUUAAUGCUAUAUUUGCCAAAAAACCUGGGAAAAGGAAAUGGCGUUGUACUGCCCGUUCUAUUGGCCCUGCUCAAUAUGUGAUGCGAUUUCCUAAUGCUAGUGAAGUUGAGAGAGCAUGCUGUUAUGGGAAACGCUUGCCGCUGAAAGAGGGGAAUAUUGUGGUAUGCAUUACUCCUUGGACCGCUUCGAUUGGAGCUAAAGGCAUGCUGGAAAAAGCGUGGGUUAGGGUUCGCAACAUUCCCAUAGAGAAAAGGUGCACUGAACAUGUGGCUUAUGCCGGGGCUCUAGUGGGGAUUACAUUAGAGGUGGAUGAAUCGACUGUGCAUAAACCAGAGUAUGCUAGAAUUCUUCUUGGCUGCAUAGAUGUUGAGAAAAUCCCUCCUUCAGCUGAAGGAGUGCUGGGAGAGCAAAUAUAUGAUUUCUUUUAUGAAGUUGAAAAAGUUGUGACUAUGGGUGCUGGGAAAAGUCAAGCCUAUACUGCUGUGGACAGCAGUGCAUCACCUUCUGUCCCCAAGAAAGCAAGGAUGGAUUCAUAUCCUGCUUCUUCAACGGGGCAGGGGGAGACUAGUGCUUCCCCCCCCCCCAGAACUAUGAUAAGGGAAUACAGAGGCUUCCUGCAGUAGUUGAGAGUGAAGAAGAGGAGGAUAGUGAGGAAGGUAACACCACAGAGCUUCUGAUUGAGACGAUGGCCAGAGAACAUGCAGCUGAAAAAAUAUCUUAUUGUGGCUCUCAAUCUGAUAAAAGUUCCUGUGACAAAAUGACUGAAGAUCUGGAUAGAGAUGAAAUAAAUGAAUAUCACAGCAAUGUGAACAGCAUACAUAAAGGUGCUUGGGGGAUGAUUACUCCUAUUCCUCCCUCACCUUUGUUUAUGUAUCGUGAUGGAUGUACUUAUGGAAAUGCUUUUCCUCCUUUGUCAGAUUAUGUGGUUUGGCCUUCUCUUCCACAUAUUGUACCUCUUGAGGAGGGAACUGUGGAAGGGGGAGAAAACUGUAGUGUUUAUACAGUUGAAUCUCCUUCUGGAUCACCAAUCCAUGACUGCAUGAGUGGUGAAAAGGAAGUUUCACACAGACAGAAGCAGAAGCUGGAGAGGGUGGAGAAUGUGGCGGCAAACAGAAUGAGGAAACGUAAUUUGGAAGGUAUGGAUAUAUCCGAGUCAAAAAAUCAAUUCUCUGCCUUAUCUGAUUCUGCUAUUAUAUUGCGUGCUGCUCUGAUGGGAGUGCAAAUCCCCGAUGAUGACUUUGUUACUGUUGAUAUCCUGCGUGAAUUAGAAAUCUCUAGAAAUUCGUUGCAUGAAAAAAUUGAUGCUAAUUCACAGAAAAUAACUGUCAAUGAUGGAUUGGGUAAUGAUGUGCCCCUCUCUUUAACAUGGGAUGAUGAUAGUGGAAAUAUGGACGAACCAUUUAUCCUGGUUCAGUCUAAAAACAAAAGAAAGAAAAAUCAUCGCAGGAAAACGGUGAUAGUUAUAUCCCCUAACAAGUCCAGUAGACCUGUGACUAGAAGUCAGCACAAUAACGAGAUGGGUAGGGCUGCUAUGGAUCCUGGCAGACCUACCAGAGCGAGAGGAAAACCUGAAAGAUACAAAUGAAAGGGUUUUUUUGGAAUUGUAGAGGAGUGGGAAAAAAAGGUAUGUCCACCUGCCUAAUUGACAUGAUCAAUGUCAAUGCUUUAGAUUUCAUUGGUCUUCAAGAGACUAUGAAGAAGGUCUAUAAUCCUGCAUUUUUCAGACAGAUUGAUCCGAAUCAUAAAUUUCGUUGGGAGUGGAAUCCCUCUAGGGGGAAAUCAGGUGGCAUCCUGUGUGGUAUUAGCAAGGAUAAGUUUGAUAUCCUUAUGACCAAAUGUGGUAAAUACAUCCUACAGUUGACCCUGUUCGAUAAGAGCAGGAACUGUAGCUGGGCUUUGAUGAUUGUUUAUGGUGCGGCACAUGAUGAACAGAAGCCUGAAUUCAUUGCGGAACUGUCAUCUAUGUGUCACAGUACAAACAUUCCGUAUCUAGUUGGGGGAGAUUUUAAUAUCAUUAGACAUUGUGGGGAAAAAAACAAAAAAACAUCUAUGUCCCAUUUCUUGGAUGUGUUCAACUCCGUUAUACACCUGCUUGGGUUGAGAGAGAUCUAUAUGACUGGUGGUUGUUACACCUGGUCCAAUAAACAAAAAAACCCGACUCUAGAAAAACUUGAUAGAGUUCUCAUGUCUCCUGACUGGGAAGAUUUAUAUCCUCUCGCUUCUGUUUAUAAGUUGACAAAAGAAAUAUCAGACCACAAUCCUUUGUUGGUUGAUGGUGGGAAUGCCUCAUCUAGAUCGCCGGGUAGCAGAUGCUUUAAGUUUGAUAACGCCUGGCUCAGUAAUCCAGACUUUCUCCCUCUGGUUGCUGAGAUUUGGACUAAGCCAGUGUAUACUUUAAACCCCAUCGAUUCCUUGAAUAUUAAGCUUAAGAGAAUUAAGAAAUUCUUUAAGGGCUGGGGCUCCAAUUUGUUUGGUCAUAACAAGAUUAGGAAGAACAUUAUUAAGCUUGAUUUGCAGGAGCUUGAAAAACUGGAAGAAACUGAUGGUUUAUGUGGGGACGCUUAUACUAGGAAGUUGGAUAUUCUAGUUGAGCUGAAUAAUAUGUAUGUGGAAGAAGAGCUCCACUGGCAUCAACUCUCUAAUGAGAGGUGGUUAUUGAAAGGGGACAACAACACUGAUUUUUUUCAUAAAGUGGCGAAUGGUCGUCGUAGAAAAAAUUCCAUGAUUUCCCUGGAGUGUGGGUCCACUCUUAUUGAAGGUACUAAAAAUUUACUUGCCCAUGCCACUGAGUAUUAUAAAACCCUGUUUGGUCCGGCUCCUGGCAACAUGUGUCAGAUUGAUGCCUCUUUGUGGUCUCAGGACGAGUUGAUUACUCCAGCGGACAAUGAGGACUUGACCCGUCCUUUCUCGUUGGAGGAAAUAAAAAAUGCUCUGUUCGACAUGAAAUCUAACCGUGCCCCUGGUCCAGACGAUAUUCCUGCUGAAUUUUAUCAACACUGCUGGGAGGUGGUGGCCAGUGAUCUCCUAUGCUUGUUCGAUUGGUUUCAUGCAGGCAAGCUAGAUGUUCGAAGACUUAACUAUGGCAUCAUUACUUUGUUGCCUAAGUCGUCAGAUGCUAAAAGUAUUCGGCAGUAUAGACCUAUUUGUCUUCUCCGUUGCCCUUACAAACUGCUCACCAAAGUUAUGGAUAUUAGGGCUAGCAAAUAUGCGCAUAAACUGUUUAGUAUCCAGCAAAAUGCUUUUAUUAAGGGGAGACACAUAGUGGAUGGAAUCCUAUCCCUCCACGAAAUUCUGCACUAUACCCAUGUCAAAAAACAGUGUGGAGUGGUCCUUAAACUUGACUUCGAGAAAGCUUACGAUAAAGUCAAUUGGGAGUUCUUGCUUGAUUGUCAUAAGAAGCAUGGAUUUAACUCUAAGUGGUGUGGAUGGGUCUCUCAAAUCCUAAAAGAUGGCACGAUUAGUGUCAAGAUUAACGACGAGGUGGGACCAUACAUCCAAAGUGCCAAGGGGGUGAGGCAGGGGGAUCCUCACUCUCCUUUCUUGUUCAAUAUUGCGGCUGAUUGCUUGACCAAAAUGGUUCUCGCUGCUCAAAAGAAUGGUCUCAUUAAAGGAUUAGCUGCUGAUCUUAUUGAUAAUGGUGUUAGUAUCCUGCAGUAUGCAGAUGACACGGUUCUUUGUUUUGAGCAUGAUAUUGGCAAAGCUGUUAAUAUCAAACUCUUGCUAUAUCUUUUUGAACUUAUGUCAGGGCUUAAGAUUAACUUUGAAAAAAGUGAGAUUUUCAGUAUCGGGGGAGAUAAUGAUACUGACUUGGUUUAUGCUGACAUGUUUGGUUGUCAAGCGGGCACUCUGCCUAUGAAAUAUCUGGGAGUCCCCGUUACAUAUUCUGCUCUCAGGAAUGCGGAUCUGGACUUCCUUGAUGGGAAAAUUAUCAAAAAGCUUGAUGCCUGGGUAGCUUAUGCGGCAUCUUCUGGAGCCAGAUUGACGCUGUUAGGAUCUAGUUUGGAUGGAAUUCCCUCCUUCCUCAUGUCAAUGUUCCUUUUCAAUAGGACUUUCAUUGAGAAGCUUGAUAAACAUCGUAGACGUUUCUUUUGGAGGAGAAAAAAAAAUAAGAAACGUGGUUACCAUAUGGUUAAAUGGUCAAGAGUUUGCCGAUCGAAAAAAAUAGGAGGGCUAGGUAUUAAAGAUCUCCAUAAGCAAAAUGUUGCUUUAUUAGCUAAGUGGUGGUGGAAAUUAGAUACGAGAGAUGGGCUUUGGCAACGUAUAGUCAAAGCUCGCUACCUCAGGAACAAAACUGUGGCUAACGUACAGAGUCGCUUUUCAGAUUCUCCCUGUUGGAAAGCGAUUAUGAAAGGACUCAUAUAUGGCGGGUAGAAAAAUUGUGAUCGAGAGUGGAAACCUUGCUAGAGUCUGGCAUGACCAGUGGAUCGAGAAUAUUGUGUUAAAAAAUCACUUUCCUGAUUUGUUUGGUAUAUGCCAGGAGCAGGAUUGCACUGUUGCAUCCUGGGUGGCAAACAAUUAUGUCCUUGGCUUUAGGCGUAGAUUGGUUGGGGUGUUGGGAGAACAGUGGGACUGGAUGGUUACGGAAGCUAGAAAACUCUCGUUGAGCACCUCCCCAGAUAAAGUUAUGUGGGCCUGGGGCAACAAAGGGAAAUUUAAUACUAAAUCAUUAUAUGAAUGGUUGGAAAAAGAUCUAUCAAGCCCUAAUUAUAAGAUGGUGUGGAAAGCACCUAUUCCUCUGAAAAUUAAGAUCUUUCUUUGGCAGUUGUUCCAGAAUGCAGUUCUUACUCGUGACAAUAUGCGUGCGAGGAACUGGCCUGGGAAUCCCAUGUGCUCCUUUUGCACUAAUAUGGAAACAGCGAAUCAUCUGUUUUUCACAUGCUCGCUUGCCCGUUCAGUUUGGGGGGUGCUGGGCAUGACGGCUGGGGCGUCAUGUUGCCCCCGCUCGCUUUGGCAAAGUUUCGCUUGGCUCUAUAAGUUCUUUCCAGGCGGAAAUCAUUUUUAUAUGAUGAUUAUUGUUGCGAUAUGCUGGGGGAUUUGGAUACUCCGCAAUAAAGUUACCUUUGAUAAUCAUACUGUUCGUUCGCCUUUAGAGGCUGUCUUCACUGCCUGUUCGUUUUUGUUGUACUGAGCAGGUCUGCUUAAGGGAGAAGAUAGGGAGAAGCUUCAGGCCGGAGUGAAGAGGCUAGCGCAUGCGGCUGCUGCUCUGGCGGACAGAUCGUUUCCUCGAGGCAGGCUCCUCUUAGGAGACAAUGAGGGGAUCCAGAUUGGAUGAUGAAGUUCUGCGUCUUUUGCUUAGUCAUCUCCCACUGGGGGUGGAUGCCCGCUGGGUCUUUUGUCUCCUAGUUAUUCUCCGUUUAGUUACAGUAAUGUUCCAGCUUGAAUUGUCCUGGGACUUUUUGGAUUCAUAGUUGAGCUGUGGAUGUUUGUGUCGUCAGGUUUUCGUCCCAUGGCGGAUGGUUCGUUCCAGAAUCAUCCUGCGGUGGGUUUUCUGACGAUGCGCCAACUCGCUCUCCCCUUUCGGUUUCAUCUGCGCUCUGGGCGUUUUGCUUCGUUAUGUUAGGUGUGGUGGUUGUACUGCUAGACAUAUUUGGCUACAAAAACUGCUGUAUUUUCGUUGAUUGAAAAACUAAUGGAAAGGGGUGAGAGCCCGGUUGGAAAAAUGAACAAGUUCUUAGUCCUUAGGGGGAAACAGUAUAUAUAAUCUUGUGCUUCUCGUGAUGAUUCCGGUAUAUAUAAUAGUUAGUGGAUUUUUCACUCAAGCUUGUUUCUCUCUUUUGCCACUUUGGUCUAGUUGGGCGCUGUAAAUGCAUGCGCUCGAGUGUUAGCAACAUUAGGAUGUCUUUUCUUACAUCAACAUUAGAGGCUCCAUAGCCCGUACUAGUUGGCACUUGGCCAUAUUCAUCUGCAUGAUGCAUACUUCCUGAGUACAACUUUUCUGAAAACACUUGCUGUCAAGUUAACUCUUGCUUAUUCAUAAUUUCAGAGAGGUCCACAAGAUGCAAGGUCCCUCUUCUACUCCCCUUCCUUCUGCUAGUUUUUGACUCGGCCACUCCCCUCCCUCACUCCCUGAUGCUCGCAUGUCAGGGGCACCACCUACAAGGAAGGGAA
rnacentral:lncRNA from 1 species